CGCAACUCCGCUCCGCACUGUGCGCCAGCAUCCCCGGGGCACGGAGGGCGCUGCGGCCCGCCCGGAGACCCCCCCACCCAGGCUGGAUCCGGGCCCUGGGGCCCAGGGAGCGGGUGUGGACAAAUCCUCCAAGAUUUAACUUCCAAGAAAACCGGCGGCGGAGCGGGUGGAGGAGGCGAGGAUGUGUGGCCAAUGCACGCGGAGUGCAAGGCCGCCUAGUUGGGAGCCGCAAGAGCCUGCCUGGUGUGGCAGGCACACGGAACCCAAUCCCUGUCUGUCCGCUGCGGCCUGGGAGGGGAGCGCCGGCCUCACCAGAGGAAGGAGCACGAGGGGAGGAGUUCCGAGAGGAAAUAAUUAGUGAAAUAUUUGCAGAAGAUGCUGGGAUGUGGAUUUAAUUCCGGAUGGACAGUGGUGCUUCUGAUUCCCUCAGUCUGUUUCCCCACCCACGAUCUCCUCUUUCCUUGGCCUAGACACACCAAAAAUAAUUCAAUAAAAUAAAAAUAAAAAUUUAAAAA
rnacentral:lncRNA from 1 species